UUGGAGGGCAAGUCUGGUGCCAGCAGCCGCGGUAAUUCCAGCUCCAAUAGCGUAUAUUAAAGUUGUUGCAGUUAAAAAGCUCGUAGUUGAAUUUCGGGAUUGACACAUCGGUCGUGCCUUAAGGGGUAUGAACUGGUGUAGUCAAUUUCUCACCUUCUGGAGAACCACGAUGCCCUUAAUUGGGAGUCGCGGGGAACCAGGACCUUUACUUUGAAAAAAUUAGAGUGUUUAAAGCAGGCAUUUUGCUUGAAUACAUUAGCAUGGAAUAAUAAAAUAGGACGGCAUGAUUCUAUUUUGUUGGUUUCUAGGAUCACCGUAAUGAUUAAUAGGGAUAGUUGGGGGCAUUAGUAUUCAAUUGUCAGAGGUGAAAUUCUUGGAUUUAUUGAAGACUAACUACUGCGAAAGCAUUUGCCAAGGAUGUUUUCAUUAAUCAAGAACGAAAGUUAGGGGAUCGAAGACGAUCAGAUACCGUCGUAGUCUUAACCAUAAACUAUGCCGACUAGGAAUCAGACGAUGUUAAUUUUUUAAUGACUCGUUUGGCACCUUACGGGAAACCAAAGUGUUUGGGU
rnacentral:rRNA from 1 species